CAUGGUUGUCGUCAGCUCGUGCCGUGAGGUGUUAGGUUAAGUCCUGCAACGAGCGCAACCCCUGUUACUAGUUGCUACCAUUAAGUUGAGGACUCUAGUAAGACUGCCUACGCAAGUAGAGAGGAAGGUGGGGAUGACGUCAAAUCAUCACGGCCCUUACGCCUUGGGCCACACACGUAAUACAAUGGCAGGUACAGAGGGCAGCUACACAGCGAUGUGAUGCGAAUCUCGAAAGCCUGUCUCAGUUCGGAUUGGAGUCUGCAACUCGACUCUAUGAAGCUGGAAUCGCUAGUAAUCGCGCAUCAGCCAUGGCGCGGUGAAUACGUUCCCGGGCCUUGUACACACCGCCCGUCAAGCCAUGGAAGUCUGGGGUACCUGAAGUCGGUGACCGUAAAAGGAGCUGCCUAGGGUAAAACAGGUAACUAGGGCUAAGUCGUAACAAGGUAGCCGUACCGGAAGGUGCGGCUGGAACAUCUCAUUU
rnacentral:ncRNA from 1 species